GUGUUUGUAACGUGCGCAAUGUUGGGCUUAUUAGAAAAUCUUGUAAAAUUUAAAUGUUUGAUAUUUAAUUUUAAUGUACAUGGGGAAACGACAAUAGUAGGUUGAAUGGUAGUGGCAUAUUUUGUAAAUAUUGUGGUAAAGAAAGGGAAGUUAGUUAUUUAGGUUGAGAAUCACUGUGAGAUUAACACCUAAGCAUGGUAUGUAUGUAAAUAAAAUUACAUACUAAAUGUUACUUUUCCAAAAUGUAAAGAGAUUUUUUUUUAUCAAGACCAAAAUCCAACCAAUUUAAUUUCUGUUGAACAAUAUAUACACACAUUCAUAUCUAAAAUAUGUUUCCAACAAUAAAAAAAGUUAUAAAGCUAUAAAUAGGAAUUGUUCAUAGUAAUCAGAGGCAUAAAAAAGAGACAAACAUAAAAGAUACACAAGACUAAAAAAUAAAAGAUGGAGAAGAAGUGCAUGUGCAUGUUGAUGAUUAUGUUCGUUGCAUUGACGAUGAUACCAUUACCAGCAAUGAGUGAAUCGUAUGAAGCUUGUCAUGAAAGGUGCAUUCACUCGUGCCAAAUAUUUUUUGAGGGAGUUGAAAAAUGCAUUCACGAUUGUGUUGGUAUUAAAUGUCAUAAAACACAUGUACUCCCUCGGAUAGCGGCUAAAGAGAUAUUUCAAGAAAUUCAUACAUAGAGAGAUAUGUUAUUAAACACACAUGAUGUUUAAGUUUACUACUCUUUGAAUUAUAUAAUUUUGAAUAAUAAAAUUCCAUCAUUCUUAGAAUUCA